UUAGAGUUUGAUCCUGGCUCAGAACGAACGUUGGCGGCAUGGAUUAGGCAUGCGAGUCGCGCGAAUGCCCGCAAGGGUGGAAGCGGCGUAUGGGGCAGUAAGGCGUGGAUAACCUACCCCGCGAUUCGGCAUAGCCCGUCGAGAGACGGGGUAAUUCCGAGCGAUGUACGGCUGGGGCAUCCUGGCGGUACCAAAGUUCCGGCGUCGUGGGAGGGGUCCACGUGGUAUUAGCUAGUUGGUGAGGUAACGGCUCACCAAGGCUGAGAUGCCUAGCGGGUGUGAGAGCAUGACCCGCGCCACUGGCACUGAGACACUGGCCAGACACCUACGGGUGGCUGCAGUCGAGAAUCUUCGUCAAUGGGCACAAGCCUGAACGAGCGAUGCCGCGUGGGCGAUGAAGGCCUUCGGGUUGUAAAGCCCUGUCGAGGGGGAGAAAGGGAAACUUGAUCUAUCCCUGGAGGAAGCUCGGGCUAAGUUCGUGCCAGCAGCCGCGGUAAGACGAACCGAGCGAACGUUGUUCGGAAUCACUGGGCUUAAAGGGCGCGUAGGCGGGCCGUCAAGCCUGGGGUGAAAUCCUCCCGCUCAACGGGAGAAUGGCCUUGGAUACUGGCGGUCUCGAGGGGGGUAGGGGCGUGCGGAACACUGGGUGGAGCGGUGAAAUGCGUUGAUAUCCAGUGGAACUCCGGUGGCGAAGGCGGCACGCUGGACCCCAUCUGACGCUGAGGCGCGAAAGCCAGGGGAGCGAACGGGAUUAGAUACCCCGGUAGUCCUGGCCCUAAACGAUGAGAACUAGGUAGUCGGCCAGACAUGGGCGGACUGCCGAAGCGAAAGUGCUAAGUUCUCCGCCUGGGGAGUAUGGUCGCAAGGCUGAAACUCAAAGGAAUUGACGGGGGCUCACACAAGCGGUGGAGCAUGUGGCUUAAUUCGAGGCUACGCGAAGAACCUUAUCCUGGGCUUGACAUGUGCGAAAGCGGUGGGAAGUAGAACCCGGAAACGGGAACGAACGGUAUCCAAUCCGGAACCCACUACAGGUGCUGCAUGGCUGUCGUCAGCUCGUGUCGUGAGAUGUCGGGUUAAGUCCCAUAACGAGCGAAACCCUUACCCUCAGUUGCCAGCGGGUCAUGCCGGGGACUCUGGGGGGACUGCCGGUGUCAAACCGGAGGAAGGCGGGGAUGACGUCAAGUCCUCAUGGCCUUUAUGCCCAGGGCUGCACGCGUGCUACAAUGGCGUGAACAGAGGGACGCAAACCCGCGAGGGCGAGCAAAUCCCGGAAAACACGCCCCAGUUCAGAUCGUAGGCUGCAACUCGCCUACGUGAAGUCGGAAUCGCUAGUAAUCGCGGGUCAGCAACACCGCGGUGAACGUGUUCCUGAGCCUUGUACACACCGCCCGUCAAGCCACGAAAGGGAGGAACGUCCGAAGUCACCUUCGCCGGUGCCGAAGAUGGGACUCCUGAUUGGGACUAAGUCGUAACAAGGUAACC
rnacentral:rRNA from 1 species